GCAGGGCCGGGGCGGGACCGGGGCCGGCGGGGCGGGAGCGGCGGCCCCGGGGGCGGUGAAAAGGAGCCGGGGGCGGCCGAGCGCCGCCGCCGCCCGCCAUGAGGGCAGCGCUCGCCCCCGGGGUUCGCCUGCUCCGCGCCCUCCCCCGGGACAGCCGCUAUCGGGGACUGACCCUGGUACUGACCUUCCUCUCCUACGCCAGCUACCACCUCUCCCGAAAGCCCAUCAGCAUCGUCAAGAGCCAGCUGCACCCCAACUGCUCAGCCUUGGGCCCGAACCCCCACAAUGACUCCAACAGCACCACCUGGUGCAGCUGGGCCCCCUUUGAUGGGGACAACUACAAGGAACUUUUUGGGGCGCUGGAUAAUGCCUUCCUGGUGGCCUACGCCAUCGGGAUGUUUAUCAGCGGCAUUUUUGGGGAGCGCCUCCCUCUGCGCUACUACCUGUCGGGGGGAAUGGUGAUGAGCGGGCUCUUCACCCUCCUUUUCGGCCUCGGCUACUUCUGGGACAUCCACGUCCUCUGGUACUUCAUUGUCGUGCAGGUCUGCAAUGGGCUGGUGCAGACAACAGGCUGGCCUGCUGUCGUGGCAUGCGUUGGAAACUGGUUUGGCAAAGGAAAGAGAGGUUUCAUCAUGGGCAUCUGGAACUCCCACACCUCCGUUGGCAACAUCUUAGGGUCGCUCAUCGCCGGUGCCUGGGUUUCCUCUGCCUGGGGCCUGUCCUUUGUGGUGCCUGGCAUCAUCAUCACCAUCGUGGGCGUCAUCUGCUUCUUCUUCCUCGUGGAGUAUCCUGAGGAUGUUGACUGCAAUCCUCCUCUGCAUCACACGGCCGCUGAUGAGGAUCCUGGAGGAGUGACCACCAGUGAGAAGGAUCCUGAAGCAGUCAUCUCCAACGAGGGCCCACUCAGCCUCUCAGGCCAGUGCAGCGUGGAUCACUCCAAGAGCACCAAGGAGCCAGCUGAGGAGCCCGAAGCCAUCAGCUUCCUUGGGGCACUUCGGAUACCUGGCGUAGUGGAGUUCUCCCUGUGCCUGCUCUUUGCCAAGCUGGUGAGCUACACCUUCCUUUACUGGCUGCCCCUCUACAUUGUCAACGUUGCUCAUUUCGGUGCCAAGGAAGCCGGGGACCUGUCGACCCUCUUUGAUGUCGGGGGUAUUUUAGGGGGGAUCUUCGCUGGCCUCAUCUCUGACUACACUGGCGGCAGAGCCACCACGUGCUGCGUGAUGCUGGUGGUCGCUGCUCCCAUGCUGUUCCUGUAUAACCAUGUGGGCCAGAAUGGCAUUGGCACAUCAAUAGCAAUGCUGAUCAUCUGUGGUGCUCUGGUUAACGGGCCCUACGCGCUCAUCACGACAGCGGUGUCGGCAGAUUUGGGCACCCAUGAGUCUCUCAAAGGAAAUGCCAAAGCCCUUUCGACGGUCACGGCCAUCAUCGACGGCACGGGAUCUGUUGGUGCUGCGCUGGGGCCGCUGCUGGCCGGGCUCAUCUCUCCCACGGGCUGGAAUAACGUGUUUUACAUGCUGAUAGCAGCUGAUGUCCUGGCUUGUCUGCUCCUGGCUCGCGUGGUGGUCAAGGAGGCCCGUGGCUGGUGUGGCUCCAUGGCGAGGCAGAGAGGGUGACCCCACAGUCCCACAGCACAGCAGUGCCAUCCCCCCGGAGGCAGAUGGGGAAGAGGCUGCACAGAUUUUGGAGGAAUGCUGCUGGCCUGCUGGGAAGGUGUGACAUCAAAAUCACCAGGACACCCCAAUGUGCUUGUGAUGCAUAAAUGCUCAGCAUUUCCUCAACACACUCGGCUUCAGGACAGGAAGGGAUUGAGCACGGCUGCGGUUUGGAAAGCAGAGAUGCCUCUUUUCUGCUUUUUUUGGGACUGUACUUACAUUUUUUAGCUGACUGAGUCAGUGCUCCGGGGUGCUGGGGCAUUUUCUGCCAGGGAAGCAUCACCUCCACACCCACUGGCUCUGCCUUAUCAAUCUUUCAUGUCCUGCAAGCCCUGCUUAGUGACUGGCAGCUGUCAGACAGGGCUGGAAAAAGCCAGUUGGUUCUUUAAUUUACUGUCAUCAGUUCAAAAUUAAAAAAAAAAAUCUCUAAAAUGGGGGAAAAAGAAAUCUGAGUUUCUGCCCUCAAGUUUUUGGCUAUUUUGACCCUGACCACUGCUCAGGGCUUUGCCCUCCCUGCAAUACUUGCUGCCUGCUCAGCCAUGGAGGGUGAGCAGCUCCAUCCCUGUGGGGCUGGAGAACAGGAGCCAAAACAGAGCCCACCUCAGCCCGUGACCUGGGAUCCUGUGGGGACCUCUGCCCACACAGCAGGGAGGGUAAAGGCUUCUCCCCUCCUGAAACAGUCACAGGAUGCUCCAGGCCACCAAAAAUGCCUUUUUUCUGCAAUUCAAAGCUUUUUGAGAUUUCAUGCAAGAAAAACUGCUGCCACGGAGGGCACAGAGCAGCAGUGGCUGUGCAGAGAGCUCGUGCCACUGCUGCCCACAGCUCAGCACAGCACAGGCUCUGCUGCAGCAAACUGCUGCCCUGCUUCCCCCCAAAAAUAGGGGCAAAAUGGCAUUCAACCCCAUUGCUGCUCCUGCAAAACAUACAGAGUGUUUUCUCCCCCAGGAGGGGAAAAGAGGGACACGAGGUGACCAGCAGGAUCUGUGCUAGAAUUGAGCAAAGGUUUGAAGUUUUAGGGUAGCAGCAACUGUGAGCCUUUGGCAUCACUGAGUGCCACCUGAGGGCCUUGACAGCCAGGGAACACUCAGGUGUCACCAGGGGGCUUUCCAUGGCUGGCAGGACUGCUCAGCACCAGGAGGGCACACACAGCCUCUCCCUCACUCCUCACUUUCCUUUUGCUGUUCUGGAUCACUUGGCAUUCACUCCCCAC